AAAGCAUGCAGCAUAUUUUCUUGCAUCAGUAAUGCAUUACAAGAGGCAUUGUUUAAAAGUCAGCAGUCUGGACUCAAAGGUAUUCACUUACAUUGAUUUUUCCAAGAAUCUGAAUAACACACUGUCUACGAUGUACUUGAACGGAUGACGAUGUGAAUAUGUGUGCAUGAAUUUCAGGACAUUCAUGUUAAUGUGUUCUGCCUCCAAGCAGGGCCGGUGCUUUACUAAAGACCUCCCUAUCUUUGGCAUCUCAUUUUUCAGUGAGGAUCACUGGCAUAAAUAAUAAAUGCUAUCUCUACUGUAUCCUUACGUAAUAGAUACGUAUCAUCACAGAGCCUUUCAUGUGCAGGAUUAAACAGUGAGGGAUCAAGUUUUGGUUUGGGGAAAUACUGUGUCACUAAUAAGUUACACAAUCUGGGCUCCAUGUGAAGUGUGCACUGGAAUAUUCUACAAUAUGUCAUGUAACACACAGACAGUAGAUGGAAAAAUUUGCAUUUAAAAAUACACUGUUACCAACCAAACAGAAUCACUUAAAGCACACCUUGUACUUCCCAGCAAUGCUCUCUAAAAAGUCAAGUAUUUGAUUUUUCUGCUGCAGUACUUCAGUCCUGCUGUGUGACACAACGAAUAUCUCUGUGUUGCAGCUCGCACGCUACUCUACUGAGGGGCUUCUCCAGCUAGGACCCCUUGGAUCGACCACCUUCCUGCCUGACACAAAAUGCCUCAUUGAUGAUGGCAGAGGACGCACUCCCAGCCUGAAAAAGUGUGAUGCUGUUUCAAGGAUUUCACAGAGGCUUUGGGACUUCACACAGAACGGACCGAUAAUCAGCAGGGACACGGGUCGAUGCUUGGAGGUAGAAAUGUCCAAAGAUGCGAACUUUGGCCUUCGCCUAGUGGUCCAGAGAUGCUCCGGUCAGAAAUGGAUGAUACGAAACUGGAUUAAACAUCCCAGACACUGAACCCACAGAUCAACCUCUGAGACGCUUUGGGCAGGGUUUCAAGUUGCAGUGUGAUUGCAAACUGUGGACAGUACUGGUGGUGGAACUACGUGGUACACCACACGACAGACUGCACUGCGCACUGAGCUUCCCUCAGGCCACAGAGCUUUCCAACACCAAGUCUUAAAGAAGAAUCUGAUCAAUUCAUGUGCUCCACCAAGCUGAGCAUUGAUUGACAGAGAACUUACGGAAAGCCGCACCGGUUAAAAUGUCCCACAUUACUGACAUUCAGCUACAUGUAUAAAACAGUAACAAGACACCUGCGCGCAGCCUCUGAAGGUGGGUGGAGGUCCUAAUGAAUCUGUCGUUUCUACUGUAAACCUACAAGACCUUUUGAGAUAACAGAGAGAGUGUGUGCGAGUGUAAGUGCUUUGUUUUUUUCUGAGUCCAUCUCAGCAAAUCAAAAGAAAUAAUUGUUGUCAAUUGCCACAUCAAAGUGAUUAUUUUGGGCUGUGAUUUGGAAAAUUGCUUUGGACAUAUUGUGCUGCCCUGGCAAGAAAUGUAACAGGCUUCAAAGGGACUGCUCGUCAUGUGAUCGGGAGGCAUUUUCACCUGCACUCACACAAGCCACUCCAGCUCUUUGUUUCUUUGGACUGUAUUGCUCGCCGUGGACAAGAGCAAUCAUGUGCCUUUUUCCCCUCAUUUUUCAGCUUCAUCAGACCAGGGAAUGUCAGUCCCAAAAGCAUGUACAAAAUUAUUUGAAAAUUAUUAAUUAAUAUAUAAAACAAUGUAUAAAACAGUCUAAUGAUAGUAAUAUAUUGUAAAAAGUGAAUAAUUGAUAUCUGUCCUCUGUUAACAAUUAGGAUAAUAAAAUCAUUUUUAUGAUGA